rnacentral:tRNA from 1 species
GCCCCAGCAGCCUACUGGAUAAGGCACUGGUCUCCUAAGCCAGGGAUUGUCAGUUCGAGUCUCACCUGGAGUG